rnacentral:rRNA from 1 species
AUUGAACGCUGGCGGCAGGCCUAACACAUGCAAGUCGAACGGUAACAGGAAACAGCUUGCUGUUUCGCUGACGAGUGGCGGACGGGUGAGUAAUGUCUGGGAAACUGCCUGAUGGAGGGGGAUAACUACUGGAAACGGUAGCUAAUACCGCAUAACGUCGCAAGACCAAAGAGGGGGACCCUCGGGCCUCUUGCCGUCGGAUGUGCCCAGAUGGGAUUAGCUUGUUGGUGGGGUAACGGCUCACCAAGGCGACGAUCCCUAGCUGGUCUGAGAGGAUGACCAGCCACACUGGAACUGAGACACGGUCCAGACUCCUACGGGAGGCAGCAGUGGGGAAUAUUGCACAAUGGGCGCAAGCCUGAUGCAGCCAUGCCGCGUGUAUGAAGAAGGCCUUCGGGUUGUAAAGUACUUUCAGCGGGGAGGAAGGGAGUAAAGUUAAUACCUUUGCUCAUUGACGUUACCCGCAGAAGAAGCACCGGCUAACUCCGUG